rnacentral:rRNA from 1 species
CCUACGGGAGGCAGCAGUGGGGAAUAUUGCGCAAUGGGCGCAAGCCUGACGCAGCAACGCCGCGUGAAGGAAGAAGGCUUUCGGGUUGUAAACUUCUUUUGAUAGGGAAGAGUAGAAGACGGUUCCUGUCGUAUGAGCCACGGCUAACUACGUGCCAGCCGCCGCGGUAAUACGGAGGUGGCAAGCGUUGUCCGAAUUGACUGGGUGUAAUGGGCGUGUAGCCGGGUUGACAAGUCAGAUGUGAAAGCCUGCGGCUUAACCGCAGAACUGCAUUUGAUACUGUUGAUCUUGAGUACUGGAGAGGGAGACGGAAUUCCUAGUGUAGCGGUGAAAUGCGUAGAGAUUAGGAGGAACACCAGUGGCGAAGGCGGUCUGCUGGACAUCAACUGACGGUGAGGCGCGAAAGCGUGGGGAGCAAACAGGAUUAGAUACCCGAGUAGUC